rnacentral:rRNA from 1 species
AGAGCGGCGGACGGGUGAGUAAUGCCUAGGAAUCUGCCUGGUAGUGGGGGAUAACGUCCGGAAACGGACGCUAAUACCGCAUACGUCCUACGGGAGAAAGCAGGGGACCUUCGGGCCUUGCGCUAUCAGAUGAGCCUAGGUCGGAUUAGCUAGUUGGUGGGGUAAUGGCUCACCAAGGCGACGAUCCGUAACUGGUCUGAGAGGAUGAUCAGUCACACUGGAACUGAGACACGGUCCAGACUCCUACGGGAGGCAGCAGUGGGGAAUAUUGGACAAUGGGCGAAAGCCUGAUCCAGCCAUGCCGCGUGUGUGAAGAAGGUCUUCGGAUUGUAAAGCACUUUAAGUUGGGAGGAAGGGCAGUAAAUUAAUACUUUGCUGUUUUGACGUUACCGACAGAAUAAGCACCGGCUAACUCUGUGCCAGCAGCCGCGGUAAUACAGAGGGUGCAAGCGUUAAUCGGAAUUACUGGGCGUAAAGCGCGCGUAGGUGGUUCGUUAAGUUGGAUGUGAAAUCCCCGGGCUCAACCUGGGAACUGCAUUCAAAACUGACGAGCUAGAGUAUGGUAGAGGGUGGUGGAAUUUCCUGUGUAGCGGUGAAAUGCGUAGAUAUAGGAAGGAACACCAGUGGCGAAGGCGACCACCUGGACUGAUACUGACACUGAGGUGCGAAAGCGU